UCCACAAUCUAUCACACGAGUCCCUCUCUCGCUUCCUCUUCCAUCGACAGAUCGACUAGCCACCGCUCGUCGCCACUCUCCAUCAACGUUCGAUUAGCUUCUUCUCCUCAGAAGUUGUUGUUGGCUUGAGUUCUGAUUGAUAAAAGAAAGACAAUGGGAGAGAAGAAUCCCCUAGUUUUUAUGGAUGUCUCUGUGGAUAAGGUGCAUGUUGGAAGGAUGGUUUUUGAGCUAUUCAAAGAUGUUGCCCCUGCAACAGUAGAAAAUUUUCGUGCCUUAUGUACUGGUAAUAA